UGGAUAUUUCGCCAACUGUGUUGAAAUAGUAUUUGUAUAUAUUUAUUACGUACACAUUUUGCUGCAUUUGACCUUUGAAGCGGUCUUAAUUUUGAAAGUUCAUAAGUAGUUUGCUGAGAUAUGUUUUGAGUUUGUGCUAUGAUGAAUUUUAAAGCAACAGACAACAAUUCAGAAUUUCUUGAAAAUGCCAUACAACAUCUAGACCAAGUCAAGAAUUGCAAGUGUAUUCCCUUUAGUUCACCAACGCGGAGGCUUUUAAGACUCUAAUGGGUAUUAAUGAAUGGUAAAUAGUCAGGGAAUUGCGACCAGUUCGUUGGUGGAAUGGGUGAAAACAGUGAGUGAUUUACCAAUGCCUGAUGUGAUAAGCCACAACUUGAUGAAUAUAUUGAUAAUAUCUUAUACAUAUAUAAAAAUAAAUCGGAAAAUGUGUUGCUAAGCGCAUAACUCAACAA
rnacentral:lncRNA from 1 species